rnacentral:lncRNA from 1 species
GAUGCAAUGGAUGGAUGAGUUGUUUUUCUCAGCUUCCUCUGUCUUGCCAUAUGCAAAAUAUUUGUGUAGGGGUGCUAAUCCUUGCUCUCAGAUGAGUUCCUCAAUCUGUCUAACAAAGUUUUAUACCCAACUGAAUUUUCUUUUCAAGCUGGAACUCCGUUUGGUCUCUGAGGUGUACUGGCAAGGCGUUUUUCCAAGAUGCUUUCUUCAUGCUCUACUGGAUCACAAGAAUGCUGAAUAGCUGUCAAUAUCAUACAGGGAACAGUGUGAGUGGCGUGUCUAAGCAGCAGGAAAACACUAGACAGCAAGAUAAUUCCACAAGGAGAGAGGAGAAAAGGACAGCCUCUCAACGUGGCAGCAAUGGCACCAAAAGCUGUCACAACCUGUCUGAGCAGCACGUAACUGCAAAUACUUCCAUGAAAGCACAUGCAGAAACAACAAGCCUCCGAAAGCCCUUCAAUGGAAAGUAAACUGGAACAUGACUGGCCUUGGAUGUGGCAUUUUUAAUAUUUAUGCGGAUUUUUCUUGAGGAAAAACUGUAAUGUACGGAAUUCAGCUCUUAAUGAGAUCCUCAGAAGGCUCUCACUACUAGAAAAGCCCUUCCUAAAGUCUGGUGCCUGUUCUCAGUCUGUUAUGCAAAACCAGGCUCUCUGAUGUGAUCUGGCACUUGGCAGGCAAAAUUCUUCUGCAAAAUGUGUGAAUUGCAAAAA